CCCUGCAUUUGAAAGUGAACAUGGGCUGCCCGUGCCCUGGUCAUCGAUAGUGCAUGCAGAGGAAUUGCUGAAAGCGUUCCACGUGUUUGAAGUGUCCAUCCU
rnacentral:snoRNA from 1 species